GACGAACGCUGGCGGCGUGCUUAACACAUGCAAGUCGAACGGAAAGGCCCUGCUUUUGUGGGGUGCUCGAGUGGCGAACGGGUGAGUAACACGUGAGUAACCUGCCCUUGACUUUGGGAUAACUUCAGGAAACUGGGGCUAAUACCGGAUAGGAGCUCCUGCUGCAUCGUGGGGGUUGGAAAGUUUCGGCGGUUGGGGAUGGACUCGCGGCUUAUCAGCUUGUUGGUGGGGGAGUGGCUUACCAAGGCUUUGACGGGUAGCCGGCCUGAGAGGGUGACCGGCCACAUUGGGACUGAGAUACGGCCCAGACUCCUACGGGAGGCAGCAGUGGGGAAUAUUGCACAAUGGGCGGAAGCCUGAUGCAGCAACGCCGCGUGCGGGAUGACGGCCUUCGGGUUGUAAACCGCUUUCGCCUGUGACGAAGCGUGAGUGACGGUAAUGGGUAAAGAAGCACCGGCUAACUACGUG
rnacentral:rRNA from 1 species